UACGUAGGUGGCAAGCGUUGUCCGGAAUUAUUGGGCGUAAAGAGCUCGUAGGCGGUCUGUUGCGUCCGCUGUGAAAACUCGGGGCUUAACCCCGAGCCUGCAGUGGGUACGGGCAGACUAGAGUGUGGUAGGGGAGACUGGAAUUCCUGGUGUAGCGGUGGAAUGCGCAGAUAUCAGGAGGAACACCGAUGGCGAAGGCAGGUCUCUGGGCCAUUACUGACACUGAGAAGCGAAAGCAUGGGGAGCGAACAGG
rnacentral:rRNA from 1 species